rnacentral:rRNA from 1 species
GUGGGUUGCAAUCGGCUUAUUAUGAACUCUAAUAAUAUUAAGGUCAUUGAUACCAUGAAGAAUGGAGGAUGAUCCACGGGAGCAGCAACAGCGGUUUUUGAGGAUUAUUAUUUUCUAGCUUGUGAUUUUCCUUUUAUUAGUUUUGAACAUUGUAACAGAAAAGCGAAUAAGGUUGUCCGUGAACUUACUAGGUUAGCUAAAUUCUCCGCAACAAGUGAUUGGUUUGACGAGCCCUUGGAUGAUAUUGUGCCUCUUUUUAUAAACAGUGUAACGGUUGUUUGCAAUUAA